AGCAGUCGCCGCGGUAAUACGUAGGUCCCGAGCGUUGUCCGGAUUUAUUGGGCGUAAAGGGAGCGCAGGCGGUUUAGUAAGUCUGAAGUUGAAGGCAUUGGCUCAACCAAUGUAUGCUUUGGAAACUGUUAGACUUGAGUGCAGAAGGGGAGAGUGGAAUUCCAUGUGUAGCGGUGAAAUGCGUAGAUAUAUAGAGGAGCACCGGUGGCGAAAGCGGCUCUCUGGUCUGUCACUGACGCUGAGGCUCGAAAGCGUGGGUAGCGAACAGGAUUAGAUACCCCCGUAGUCCCUGUCUCUUAUACA
rnacentral:rRNA from 1 species